rnacentral:rRNA from 1 species
UACGUAGGGUGCAAGCGUUAAUCGGAAUUACUGGGCGUAAAGGGUGCGCAGGCGGUUCGCUAAGUCCGAUGUGAAAUCCCCGGGCUUAACCUGGGAACUGCAUUGGAGACUGGCGGGCUAGAGGAUGGCAGAGGGGGGUAGAAUUCCACGUGUAGCAGUGAAAUGCGUAGAGAUGUGGAGGAAUACCGAUGGCGAAGGCAGCCCCCUGGGCCAAUACUGACGCUCAUGCACGAAAGCGUGGGGAGCAAACAGG